GACGAACGCUGGCGGCGUGCUUAACACAUGCAAGUCGAACGGAAAGGCCCUGCUUGCAGGGUACUCGAGUGGCGAACGGGUGAGUAACACGUGGGUGAUCUGCCCUGCACUUCGGGAUAAGCCUGGGAAACUGGGUCUAAUACCGGAUAGGAGCCAUUUUUAGUGUGAUGGUUGGAAAGUUUUUUCGGUGUAGGAUGAGCUCGCGGCCUAUCAGCUUGUUGGUGGGGUAAUGGCCUACCAAGGCGGCGACGGGUAGCCGGCCUGAGAGGGUGGACGGCCACAUUGGGACUGAGAUACGGCCCAGACUCCUACGGGAGGCAGCAGUGGGGAAUAUUGCACAAUGGGCGCAAGCCUGAUGCAGCGACGCCGCGUGUGGGAUGACGGCCUUCGGGUUGUAAACUCCUUUCGCUAGGGACGAAGCGUUUGUGACGGUACCUAGAUAAGAAGCACCGGCUAACUACGUG
rnacentral:rRNA from 1 species